rnacentral:tRNA from 1 species
GGCCUCGUAGCUCAUCAGCUGGUAGAGCGUGCGCUGUAGAAAAGGGUAGGAGGGUCCAUACGUGGGUUCGAAUCCCACCGAGGCCC